rnacentral:rRNA from 1 species
AUUGAACGCUGGCGGCAGGCUUAACACAUGCAAGUCGGACGGUAGCACAGAGGAGCUUGCUCCUCGGGUGACGAGUGGCGGACGGGUGAGUAAUGUCUGGGGAUCUGCCCGAUAGAGGGGGAUAACCACUGGAAACGGUGGCUAAUACCGCAUAACGUCGCAAGACCAAAGAGGGGGACCUUCGGGCCUCUCACAAUCGGAUGAACCCAGAUGGGAUUAGCUAGUAGGCGGGGUAACGGCCCACCUAGGCGACGAUCCCUAGCUGGUCUGAGAGGAUGACCAGCCACACUGGAACUGAGACACGGUCCAGACUCCUACGGGAGGCAGCAGUGGGGAAUAUUGCACAAUGGGCGCAAGCCUGAUGUAGCCAUGCCGCGUGUAUGAAGAAGGCCUUCGGGUUGUAAAGUACUUUCAGCGGGGAGGAAGGCGAUGUGGUUAAUAACCGCAUUGAUUGACGUUACCCGCAGAAGAAGCACCGGCUAACUCCGUGCCAGCCGCCGCGGUAA